GCCCCUUUGGGGACAUUUGAUAAAAUUGGAACGAUACAGAGAAGAUUAGUAUGGGCCUUGUGCAAGGAUGACACGUACAAUUCAACAAAAAUCACUUUCCUUU
rfam:Cucumis melo, WGS project CAJI01000000 data, contig: 07904